GUCACUCCUCCUUCUUCCCAUUCCCCGUCGAGCCCCCGUCUGUCCGCUCCGCGACGCCGCGAUCCCUUCGACGCCUCCGAUCUCCAGCCUCCGACGAGAUGGCCGAGAUUGAGAUUAAAACAGCACCUGCUGACUUCCGCUUCCCUACAACAAACCAAACUAGGCACUGUUUUACUCGCUAUGUUGAGUUCCACAGGUGUGUGAGUGCCAAGGGGGAUGAAGCUGCUGAAUGUGAGAAAUUUGCCAAGUACUACCGAUCUCUUUGCCCAGCUGAAUGGGUUGACAGGUGGAACGAGCAGAGGGAGAACGGGACAUUUGCAGGGCCCCUCUAAAUCAUCUGUUUGAGAGUCUCCUCAAUUGCUUUCGUGUCAGCGCUACUGCUGUCUUGUGGUUGGAAUUUAUGCUCCUGUCAUGUACUCUCUCCCAGCAAUCGCUGCAGAACAGCAAGUGAUGCUUUUCUCUAUGUUGCACAAAUAAUUCAGCAUGCUUAUGUAUUCUGUCAUUGAGGACAUGCAUUUUCACAUUUGUUAAAUGAAUUACAUUCUGAAAUGAGGUUAAUUUCAUUGCCCAUUGCUUGACUCUAAGCAUGUCUGUCCUGGGAUUUAGAAUG
rnacentral:rRNA from 1 species